AUGACUUUGUAUCGAUGUGACCUGUUUGCGUAGGUCUUGUAUCUCCUUCACUCCUCGGUAAAGAUUAGUCGGUUACGUUCGGGCAUUGCUAGUGAGCAUGUGAGUGUUAUGCACGUCAAAGAAGUUGCUAGCUGCUGCUUUGCUGUGGCUUAAAUGCCGUUUCCAAUUUUGGGACGCAGAAUUUU